rnacentral:rRNA from 1 species
GACGAAGGGGGCUAGCGUUGUUCGGAAUUACUGGGCGUAAAGCGCACGUAGGCGGUUUUCCAAGUUGGAGGUGAAAUCCCCGGGCUUAACCCGGGAACUGCCUCCAAAACUGGGACACUCGAGUCCGAGAGAGGUGAGUGGAAUUUCCAGUGUAGAGGUGAAAUUCGUAGAUAUUGGAAAGAACACCAGUGGCGAAGGCGGCUCACUGGCUCGGUACUGACGCUGAGGAGCGACAGCGUGGGGAGCAAACAGG